UACAGAGGUGGCAAGCGUUGUUCGGAAUUACUGGGCGUAAAGGGCGCGUAGGCGGUUCGUUAAGUCCUGUGUGAAAUCCCCCGGCUCAACUGGGGAAUUGCACAGGAAACUAGCGGGCUUGAGUUCGGGAGAGGGAAGCGGAAUUCCGGGUGUAGCGGUGAAAUGCGCAGAUAUCAGGAAGAACACCAAUGGCGAAAGCAGCUCUCUGGGACGGUACUGACGCUGAGACGCGAAAGCGUGGGGAGCGAACAGG
rnacentral:rRNA from 1 species